UAAAAAUAUUGAUUAUGCCUCAAUUAUCAAAAAAUAUUUUGUAAUCUCUAUUUAAUUUAGUAAUUUUGUUGCCAUCCUCAAUGGUUUUGAUGGUUCCUCCACUUUAAAAGAGGGCAUCGAGCUACAGGGCGAAGAGGAGGAAGAAAAUUCGUAGCUAAGGUAAACCGAGAGGGAGUUUUUGUGUGAUUUGUUCAAUCAGAUUAAUCAGUUAGCAGUGGAAUCGGGAGCAGAACAAGGGAGGAAUCCAUCAAUCAGAUUAACACCAUCACUAAGAACAAAGGUAAGUGAAAUUUGACUCUCACCACUUGAGUAGAAUUUAUCUUCUAAAUUCUUUGAGAUAUUUUUCGGAAGAAAUAAGUUGAUUUGGUAAUAGGGACAUUUUCUUGAAGUUGGAUUAGAACUAGGAGUAAAAAUAGAAAAAAUGGAGAGUGAGAUAUGAGGAUAAAUAGAAGAUCGAACAAAAUGAUGGAAUUAUCGUGUGGAUAGCUAUGAGGAGAGGACAGAGGAGACAUGCUAGAAACAUAGGAGGAAAAUUAAAAGGAUGGGAAUGGGAGAGGGAAAUAGUGGUCUGCAUUUGAUGUCUAUUUGGGAAUUAUUAUUAUGUUAUUUUUUGUAUUUAAUUCUCUUGAUGUCUAUUUGGGAAAUGGUGCCAUUGGUGAGUAGAGGUAGGGAAACAAACUUGAAAGGGAUUAAAAACAAAAUAAACAUAAAAUUCUAGGAGGCAAAUCUAGGUGAGUAGAGACAGUGUUCUCUGUGAGGGUGAAAGUGAUGUUGUUUGGAAAUAGGAAUGGGAAUAGCAAUGGAACAAAAAAACUAUGGGAGCCAAUCUUGGUGAGCAGAGAUAGUGUUCUCUGUGAUGCACGUGUAGGAAAGAAUGAAUUACACAAACUUUAAUUAGAUGUUUUCUUCAUUUUAGAUAGAUGUAAUGGUUAACCCUCACGGCAAGGGAUGUGAACACUGCUCUUAGAUGUACUUAUUUUUUAUUUGGAGAUAGAAGGUUAUGUAUUUUUCACACUGGGAAUAUAAGUUCUUACGGUACCAUGACUCCCUAUGUAGGUACGGGUUGUUACAGCUCUUAUCCAAUCAUUUUGAAUAGGAGGAUCAAAGCACAUCGCUCCUCCAUAUGAUCCACUCGAUGGAACAAGAGGUUUAGUGCUUAACAUCUGAACUAUUUUUCUCUUAUUUGUUUACCG
rnacentral:lncRNA from 1 species